GCGGCACGGAUUCAUCAAGCCAUUGGACAGCUUCGCAGUGCAGCAGCCCAGGCUGCCCAGCCGAGCACCGCAGUCCUAUCAAGGUUUGCUGUAGCUCAGAAGGCUCUGCCUACAUGACUACUGCAUACCCUACUGGGAGAAUUGGAAGAAUGUGAUGAUGGUAGGAGUCACCCAGCAUAGAAGCAUGAGUGAAUGACAUCCCAGAGAUCUGCAAAGGAUCCUGGUAGCCACUUCAAAGACUUUUUCUCCCUUCCUCAGACAAUCAUGGCACAUGGACAUCAGAGGAAGAAAUGGCGAAGUUUGUAUGACUCCUCCAGCAGAGUCCUUGGAAACAAUAAAGCUUCCUUUCCAAA